UCCCCUUGGCGACAGGCCAAGAGACACCUUGUUGGUGGUGGUGUUCUUAUCUCAUUCAGAGGCAGAGCAGAUGGUAGUCCUUUGUUCAUCCUAGUUUGAGCCUGGCUUGGUAGCCAAAGGUGUUUUAUGCCUAGGACACAUAA